rnacentral:rRNA from 1 species
CAGUCGCAUCUGUUGGGAUUCAGCCUGGCUUCUGCCUGGUGUAUUUCCUUUCCGAUGGGUCAGCAUCAGUUUUGACCAAGGGAAAAAGACAUUUGGAAUGUGGCACCUCCGGGUGUGUUAUAGCCCCUUGCUGUAUACACUGGUUGGGAUUGAGGUUUCAGUGCACGCUUCGGGGCUACCUGUCUGGUCUCUGAUCGUUGCUCUGGUGCCGAAAGCUUGCUUACGGUUAUCAAAGUCGAUGGUCAA